rnacentral:rRNA from 1 species
AUACGUAGGGUGCGAGCGUUGUCCGGAAUUACUGGGCGUAAAGAGCUCGUAGGUGGUUUGUCGCGUCGUCUGUGAAAUUCCGGGGCUUAACUCCGGGCGUGCAGGCGAUACGGGCAUAACUUGAGUACUGUAGGGGAGACUGGAAUUCCUGGUGUAGCGGUGAAUUGCGCAGAUAUCAGGAGGAACACCGGUGGCGAAGGCGGGUCUCUGGGCAGUAACUGACGCUGGGGAGCGAAAUGAGGGGUAGCGAACAGGAUUAGAUACCCUGGUAGUCCAGGCCGUAAACGGUGGGCGCUAGGUGUAGGGGUCUUCCACGACUUCUGUGCCGUAGCUAACGCAUUAAGCGCCCCGCCUGGGGAGUACGGCCGCAAGGCUAAAACUCAAAGGAAUUGACGGGG